rnacentral:rRNA from 1 species
UACAGAGGGUGCGAGCGUUAAUCGGAAUUACUGGGCGUAAAGGGCGCGUAGGCGGCCUCUUAAGUCGAACGUGAAAUCCCCGGGCUCAACCCGGGAACUGCGUCCGAUACUGGGGGGCUUGAAUCCGGGAGAGGGAUGUGGAAUUCCAGGUGUAGCGGUGAAAUGCGUAGAUAUCUGGAGGAACACCGGUGGCGAAGGCGGCAUCCUGGACCGGUAUUGACGCUGAGGCGCGAAAGCUAGGGGAGCAAACGGG